rfam:Oryza sativa Japonica Group DNA, chromosome 10, cultivar: Nipponbare, complete sequence.
UUUAAGUGUAGUUAUAGAUUGUCGUGUCCAACGUUUGACCGUCCAUCUUAUUUAAAAUUUUUUAUGAUUAGUUUUUUAUUGUUAUUAGAUGAUAAAACAUGAACAAUGCUUUAUACGUGACUUAUGUUUUUAAUUUAUUUUUUAUAAACUUUUCAAAUAAGACGGACAGUUAAACGUUGGACAUGGAAACCCGCAAAUGCAUUUAAA